rnacentral:lncRNA from 1 species
GGGAGAAGAUUUGGCUACAACCAGGAUUGGGGACAUCAGCAACUUGGAGGGGAGGACCCUUCAUAUAUGCUUGUGAGCUUCCUAUCACCACCUGACCCAAGAAAGGCCCUCUAGGAAGACAAUAAAUAAAUAAUAGCAUUAUUAGUUGUUCCUUCCUUCUUUCUUUCUUAUGCUGGCUUCGUGAUCUACUCAAGCAAUGGUGGGCCACAGAAACUGAUAAGAGAGUCCAAAAAUGUAAGCAAAAAAGGUUUGUUUGGGGGGUGGGGAGGGAGGAGUUUGGUUCAGCCAUUCAGUGCAGAAGUCCUAAAAGUGAUUGGGAAGUACUUGGGUCGGUAAAAAAAUAUUGAUUUUAGGCUUUUUUCUCCUUUUACAAAAAGCACACGGGGCCAAUGUCAACACCAAAUUCCUGAUCGGCGCCACCAAUGUCCAUAGGCGCAAUGUCAAUGAUGGGCAGGCGCGAAGUCUUCUGAGAUCGAUACUCGAUGAUUGUCUUCCCCCACUUGCCAGUGUGUUUCUGGAAUGGUGAAAAUAGACACAUACAAAGGAUGCAUUACUUAAGAGCUUUAUACUCCAGUUUCAAUGAGUUCUUCCUGGGAAUGCUCUUUGGCUUCGGAUAGACACAGG